rnacentral:rRNA from 1 species
AUGCUCUUCAAGAUCACCUCCGUCUACGGUCCCUCAGACUCCUCUUGCAAAGAUGCUUUCUUUGCCGAGCUGCUGGCAGAGAAACCACCGACCGGGGUGGCCUGGCUUGCCUCAGGCGACUUCAACCAAAUUUAUAGGGCGCGAGAUAAAAAUAAGAGAAAUGUGAACCGCGGCAGGAUCAACCGUUUCAGGGCAACGCUCCACAGUUGUGAACUCAAAGAGAUCCACCUUCAAAACCGGAGAUUCACUUGGAGCAAUGAGAGGGCAAAUCCAACCUUAUGCAAGCUUGACUCUUUUUUCUGCAACGCCGAGUGGGACACAACUUUCAACACUCAUGUCCUUAAUGCGCUUUCCUCCUCUCUCUCCGACCAUUGUCCGCUUCUUCUUGCUGAUGACAAGGGACCAAGAAGGCCUCGAGUGUUUAAAUUUGAAAACUUCUGGGCAUCCAUGCCCGGAUUCAACGAGGUGGUUCAAAAUGCGUGGAACGAGAGGGUUGACCACACUGAGCCAUACCUCAUUCUUUACCACAAGCUCAAGAAGACGGCUCUCCGCCUCUCUGAAUGGAGUAGAGGUCUUUUCUCCAAGGCUAAAAUUCACCACCAGGCCGCGCUCUUGGUGAUAUUUCGCCUCGACAUCGCCCAAGAGGAUAGGCUCCUCUCCACCGAAGAAAUUGAGCUCCGGGCCAAGCUCAAGAGAAGGGUCAUCGCCUUGGCGGCGCUCGAAAGAUCGCGCAAGAAGCAAUGUGCGAGAAUUGCCAACCUUAGAGAUGGGAAUGCUAAUACAAAAUUCUUCCAUCGCCGAGUCAAUGCAAGGCGGAGAAAAAAAUCAUAUCCAUAG